GAGUGUGUUCGUUAUUACUUGCGAAGUACAAUUUACGUCCCUGCUAGGGAAGUGAAACUAGCGCAGACCACAUGGUCUCUGCUCCGCUGGUGCAGGCUGGUCUUGACGUGUUUCUAUUCAGCUUUGCGUUCGCAGUGAUUGAACUCUGCGUGGUACAGUGUCGAUUAAUCGCUAUGCAUUCACAGCGGUAUAUAUAGGGGGUAGUUCAGAUGCCGGUACUCGUGCUGCAUUAAGCUGAUGGUUUUGCUCGUUAUCGCUGUUUGUAGAAGUCGAUGGAUUUGUGUCUACGCUACGGGGUUCUGGUUUCGUUAAUUUCGGGCUGUAUGAUGCUACGCAAGGAGAUGACUAUCUGCAGGGACUCUGGCUUGUCUUGUCAAGGAGCAGGCUGUCUGAAUGGAUUGCAGUUAGAAGGCUGAAGGGCAACUUGCUGCUGUGAUACUUCUGAGAAGGAACAGUAUGGAAACCUGUACCAGACAGAGCUGAUGCUUGUCAGUCCUGCACAAGAGAUCCAUUCCAAGGGCAAACCUAAAUGUUGACUGCAGCGGCUUCUAUUGCAGUCUCAGGAUUUGCAGCCAUGGACCCAGCUGACACCUGGACCUUGAGCUUGGACUGGCUGGUCUGAAGGGUGCAGUACAAGCAUUGACCUGUAUAUGGCACCAAAAUGUUUGAGCCAACAGAGGUGCAGUAGAAAGCAACUACCUGUAGAUGGCACCAAAAUGUUUGAGCCAGCAGAGGUCUGAAUUCUUGAAACCUGACAUGCGGAACAGUGUUACUCUGCAAGAAGUGCCAAAGAGGAGACACUGAUGCAGAAAACAGGAGCCUGCAGUGGAUGCCCUAUAAGUCUGGAGUGGAUGUUUCACUGGAAGUGCGGUUUCCCAGCAGGUUGGGAUUUGGUAUCCUGAAGGAACAUCUGUCCUUGCCAUGGAAAUGCUGCAGGCAAAUGCUGGUGUCCAUGUUACAAGUCAAACUGUUUCUUGGACUUCAUAGUUUCUAAUAUGACAUCGGGAUUUCAUGCUGUCGUUCACUUGUAAUAUAUUUGAUAUUUGAUUUUGUAAUUAUGAUUACAAAAUGAAUCAUGCACAUUUUAUUGUAUUGCUUCCAGAUUGUAAAACCAUUUACUGUGUCAAAGUGCUAUAGCAAAUAAUUGAAAUUGUUACUCCUUAAUACUUCUGGUUGAGUUGGGAGAUUCUCCAACCUUGGUGCAGUUACCGGUCUGUGUUUAUCCAAAUCUGUGCAUGAAAUAAUGUGCAACAUUGCUGUUAAACACCAUUUACCAAUGUGAAGUUUAAUAAAUUUAUUCCUUUUACGGUU